rnacentral:snRNA from 1 species
GUGCUUGCUUUGGCAGCACAUACACUAAAAUUGGAGUGAUACAGAGAAGAUUAGCAUGGUCCCUACGCAAGGAUGACAUGGAAAUUCGUGAAGCAUUCCAUAUUUUU